rnacentral:rRNA from 1 species
CACGUAGGGCGCAAGCGUUGUCCGGAAUUAUUGGGCGUAAAGAGCUCGUAGGUGGUUUGUUACGUCUGCUGUGAAAACCUAGGGCUUAACCCUGGGCUUGCAGUGGAUACGGGCAGACUAGAGGUAGGUAGGGGAGAAUGGAAUUCCUGGUGUAGCGGUGAAAUGCGCAGAUAUCAGGAGGAACACCGGUGGCGAAGGCGGCUCUCUGGGACGGUACUGACGCUGAGACGCGAAAGCGUGGGGAGCGAACAGG